rnacentral:tRNA from 1 species
GGAUCCAUAGCCAAGCUGGUAAGGCAAGGGACUGCAAAUCCCCAACCUGCGGUUCGAAUCCGCAUGGAUCCUCCA